ensembl:lncRNA
UUCUGACCCCUGUACUUCAUUCUAAUAGGUAACACUUCUGACCCCUGUACUUCAUUCUAAUAGGUAACACUUCUGACCCCUGUACUUCAUUCUAAUAGGUAACACUUCUGACCCCUGUACUUCAUUCUAAUAGGUAACACUUCUGACCCCUGUACUGCAUUCUAAUAGGUAACACUUCUGACCCCUGUACUGCAUUCUAAUAGGUAACACUUCUGACCCCUGUACUGCAUUAACCAGAGGCUGUCCCCUGCAUGUCCUCAACACCAUCAUUCCAGUCAUGUAGUGAACUUGACUGUACGUUUGUUUAUGUGUAACUCUGUUGUUUUUUGUCGUACUGCUUUGCUUUAUCUUGGUCAGGUCGCAGUUGUAAAUGAGAACUUGUUCUCAACUGGCCUCCCUGGUUAAAUAAAGGUGAAAUAAAAUCCUAAAUAGUGUAUCUCUGGCCCCCUCUCUGUGUGGCCUUAUCACAUGUCCAAUAUAUGAAAUCAUUCAAUAAGAUUCUCAACAACAACAAAAAAGAAUGUUACCAAAUGAUGUUACCUAAAUAUAAACCAUCAGGUUGGUGAAUCCCAUUGGUGUUUAUCAAGAGGGUUUCAGCAUGAAUGUUACCAAAGCUGAAUGAAAUGAUCCUAAAUAUAAACCAUCAAGUUGGUGAAUCCCAUUGGUGUUUAUCAAGAGGGUUUCAGCAUGAAUGUUACCAAAGCUGAAUGAAAUUAUCCUAAAUAUAAACCAUCAAGUUGGUGAAUCCCAUUGGUGUUUAUCAAGAGGGUUGAAUGUUAUUUUCCACACUACUUUGCCGACGUCUAACUAGACCGGAUCCAGAAUGACAUGUCUAGGUUAGGAAGGUUUCUCCCAGGGGACAGAAUGACAUGUCUAGGUUAGGAAGGUUUCUCCCAGGGGACAGA